rnacentral:misc_RNA from 1 species
UUAAGUUCAGCGGGUAGUCCUACCAAUCUGAGGCCGAUGAAUUGAAAAAAUCCCUUCCUUUUCCGAAGAAAGAGGCAUGGGCGGGUUUCAGAAGCACUCCAAACAGCAAAACGUUGCGUCCAGCUCUAACCCUUUCUCCGCCUCCGAAGUCCUGAUAUUAUCAAAACCCGGCAGGGAAGAGAGGGCGAAAAUCGAGCUUU